UUUCUUUCACAAUGGAAUUAGUCAGCAGUUUUAAACUGGGGCUAAAAGCACUGCUGGGCUCUGAUGCAGACAGCGUUGGCCUAGGUAUAGAGGAAGAAUGUGCAAAGUAAACCAAGCUAGUUGAUAGUGUUGAGCUCUGCUGAGUCGUAGUUUUCAAGACUGCUGAGUAGUAGUUUGUAAGGGAGGGAGUUGUCACGCUUGGGUUCAAGGACGUGCCUGCAAGAGUAGAACUAGACAAAGUUCCAGAGGAUUCACUCUUUAAAAUGCCUUUGGAAGAUGACAUCAGGAGCGUAGAACUCGUCUCAAGUUGGGUGUUACUGUGCUGUCUAUCUGUGAGCACUUCCAUUGCAGAUGAUGCUUUGACGCUCUCUAAAGUGCUGCUUGUCUCCAAUGUUGGAAGUGACAAUGAGGAGUCCUUUGACAUAUGCUUCAAUAUUGAUGCUGCUUCCUCGUGUUUCUAGAAAAACAAAGAAUACACCCUUUACCAACACUAACAUGUUUGAACUUUAGGUUUAUUACCUGUAAUGUUCACAGUGUGCCAACCGUUGAAUGCCAGCUGCUAAAUCACGUGGCCAAGCAGUUGGAAUCAUCAGGACAUUUGGAGUUUUAUCUUAUCUGGACUAAACAACUGUUAUUUACAUGGGGUAAAUAUAUCAAAGAAAAUUCACUAGAAGUUAUGCCAUUGCUCAUAAAUUUGCAGAAAUCAUUGGCGAGAACCUCUGAAGAUCUGGGAAGACUGUGCGAUGGUAAUAUAUAUGCAUUAGACUAUCUUCUUAAAAUGAAGCUGAAGAGAUCAGUGAAGGAUUAAGAUACGGGAACUGAAGCCGUGCAAAUUGAAACUUUGAACGCUGGUAACUUUGACAGUCUAGAAGUCUAGUUGAUCAUCUGUAAAGAGGGGAAGCGUCAAUCUACACACAACGAGAAACCAGUAGCCCGACCAGGAAGAGAGAUAAGCCUUGUAUGGAAGAAUCAAGCUCUAUAUACGAUCUUAUCCGUAUUAACCGAUUUAUUUGUUACAGAAAUGGACCUUGUCCGGCCGAGUGCUAAUGGCAAUCGAUGCUACUUGUGAUUAGAAUAAAAACUUUUGGUUUUAAUAAAAAAUAAUAUCGACACUGUUUA